rnacentral:rRNA from 1 species
GAAUGAACGCUGGCGGCGUGCUUAACACAUGCAAGUCGCACGAGAACGCUUCAGCUUGCUGAAGCUAGUAAAGUGGCGCACGGGUGAGUAACGCGUGGGUAAUCUACCUCCAAAUUGGGGAUAACAUUGCGAAAGCGAUGCUAAUACCGAAUAAUAUCUCAAGAACUUCGGCGCUUAAGAUCAAAGGUGGCCUCUACAUGUAAGCUUCUGUUUGGGGAUGAGCCCGCGUACCAUUAGCUUGUUGGUAGGGUAAUGGCCUACCAAGGCUGCGAUGGUUAGCUGGUCUGAGAGGAUGAUCAGCCACACUGGAACUGACACACGGUCCAGACUCCUACGGGAGGCAGCAGUGAGGAAUUUUGCGCAAUGGGGGAAACCCUGACGCAGCAACGCCGCGUGAGUGAUGAAGGCUUUCGGGUCGUAAAGCUCUGUCAAGUGGGAAGAACCCACAUGGUGAUAAUACCACUAUGUGUUGACGGUACCACUGAAGGAAGCACCGGCUAACUCCGUGCCAGCAGCCGCGGUAAUACGGGGGGUGCAAGCGUUAUUCGGAAUUACUGGGCGUAAAGAGCGCGUAGGCGGUCUUUUAAGUCAGGUGUGAAAGCCCGGGGCUCAACCCCGGAAGUGCACUUGAAACUAAGGGACUUGAGUAUGGGAGAGGGAAGUGGAAUUCCUGGUGUAGCGGUGAAAUGCGUAGAUAUCAGGAGGAACACCGGUGGCGAAGGCGACUUCCUGGACCAAUACUGACGCUGAGGCGCGAAGGCGUGGGGAGCAAACAGGAUUAGAUACCCUGGUAGUCCACGCAGUAAACGGUGAACACUAGGUGUAGCGGGUAUUGACCCCUGCUGUGCCGCAGCAAACGCAUUAAGUGUUCCGCCUGGGGAGUACGGAAAGCUGAAACUCAAAGGAAUUGACGGGGGCUCACACAAGCGGUGGAGCAUGUGGCUUAAUUCGAGGCAACGCGAAGAACCUUAUCCUGGGUUUGACAUGCACGGAUUAACUCUGUGAAAGCAGAGCCACACCUUCGGGGGUGGAACGUGCACAGGUGCUGCAUGGCUGUCGUCAGCUCGUGUCGUGAGAUGUAGGGUUAAGUCCUUAAACGAGCGCAACCCUUAUCCUUAGUUGCCAGCGGGUAAUGCCGGGGACUCUAGGGAGACCGCCGGUGUCAAACCGGAGGAAGGCGGGGAUGAUGUCAAGUCCUCAUGGCCUUUAUGCCCAGGGCUGCACACGUGCUACAAUGGUGCGUACAAAGGGAAGCAAACUCGCGAGAGCAAGCAAAUCCCAAAAAGCGCGCCUCAGUUCGGAGUGCAGGCUGCACCUCGCCUGCAUGAAGCUGGAAUCGCUAGUAAUCGCAGAUCAGCUAUGCUGCGGUGAAUGUGUUCCUGAGCC